rnacentral:rRNA from 1 species
GACGAACGCUGGCGGCGUGCUUAACACAUGCAAGUCGAACGGUAAGGCCCUUCGGGGUACACGAGUGGCGAACGGGUGAGUAACACGUGGGUGAUCUGCCCUGCACUUCGGGAUAAGACUGGGAAACUGGGUCUAAUACCGGAUAGGACCCCGGACUGCAUGGGCUGGGGUGGACAGCUUUUGCGGUGUGGGAUGGGCCCGCGGCCUAUCAGCUUGUUGGUGGGGUGAUGGCCUACCAAGGCGACGACGGGUGGCCGGCCUGAGGGGGUGACCGGUCACACUGGGACUGAGAUACGGCCCAGACUCCUACGGGAGGCAGCAGUGGGGAAUAUCGCACAAUGGGCGCAAGCCUGAUGCAGCGACGCCGCGUGAGGGAUGACGGCCUUCGGGUUGUAAACCUCUUUCAGCAUCGACGAAGCGAAAGUGACGGUAGGUGCAGAAGAAGGACCGGCCAACUACGUGCCAGCCGCCGCGGUAA